CACAUACGACGAUUUCAACAUCUUGUGGGGCUUCAUGACUCCUGAGGACGUUGAGAAAGAGAAGAACAAGGCACAGGCGCAGCGGCAGGCCUCGAGCCGACGCACUAAGAAGCCCGCUGGGGGGCGGCG
rnacentral:snRNA from 11 species